GCGCUAUUAACUCAGAUGGAUAGAGUGACAGACUUCUAAUCUGUAGGUCGUAGGUUCGAAUCCUACAUGGCGCA
rnacentral:tRNA from 1 species